GACGAACGCUGGCGGCGUGCUUAACACAUGCAAGUCGAACGGAAAGGCCCUGCUUUUGUGGGGUGCUCGAGUGGCGAACGGGUGAGUAACACGUGAGUAACCUGCCCUUGACUUUGGGAUAACUUCAGGAAACUGGGGCUAAUACCGGAUAGGAGCUCCUGCUGCAUGGUGGGGGUUGGAAAGUUUCGGCGGUUGGGGAUGGACUCGCGGCUUAGCAGCUUGUUGGUGGGGUAGUGGCUUACCAAGGCUUUGACGGGUAGCCGGCCUGAGAGGGUGACCGGCCACAUUGGGACUGAGAUACGGCCCAGAGUCCUACGGGAGGCAGCAGUGGGGAAUAUUGCACAAUGGGCGGAAGCCUGAUGCAGCAACGCCGCGUGCGGGAUGACGGCCUUCGGAGUGUAAACCGCUUUCGCCUGUGACGAAGCGUGAGUGACGGUAAUGGGUAAAGAAGCACCGGCAACCUACGU
rnacentral:rRNA from 1 species